GCAGCGCAACAGUACGAACAGGAGAAGGCUGCAUUCCUCAGCUUGCCCCUUUCUCCAAAAUGUUACUGGGAGGGAGUUGAAGAUGGAUGACCAUAUCGACACAAUGUAGAGUAAGAAUGUCUGAGCUGUCCAGGGCGCCCAGAGAAAAGUCUUGACAAAGCCUAACUGCCUUUGUUCUUUAUCUGCAGAAGAAGAGCCCCACCAUCACGGGAGCUUGUUAGAAACCACAAACCACAUGAAUAAUGAGAAGCAAAUAUAGCAAGCUGAAUUUAUAAUAGCUCUGUGUUCUUAUAUGCAUGUAUGCUGUAUUUCCAAAAAUAAGUGUAAAGUGUAUAAACAAGAAGCAUUACUUCUUACGAAGGUGUUUAUGGUUUUAAACAGAAUAUUGUUUUCAAAGCAUUGUCACUCAGCUGGUGUUGUAUAUGUACCUCUAUGAAUAUGAAUAAAUGCUAACAUGACCCAGUGAAUUCUGUGCAAUACUAUUUAUAUCCUGAAAAUGUGGAAAAUAUCAGUGCUUUUCUGAUUGAUUUAGCAAGAGUAUUGUUAUUGUUCUUUUCAGAAAAUGGGAGCAUUUGCAUAUCUAUGACAAAGUGUCACUGUAAGACAUAUCAAGUCAAACUAUGUGAGUCACACCAUGUCAGAAUACAAUGCACAAAGAAACUUUCUGAAAAUGCUGCAACCUGAGAUUGUAUGUCAGAAUCUAGUACUUCAUUACCAAGAUAAUCCAACCUAUGAUAACUUCAUUAUCUAAAAUUUUCAGUGCAGAAAAACUGUGUUAGUUAGGGAUGGCAAAGGUCUCCUCUAGUCUUAAAGUCUCUUCUUUUUAUGCAAUAUUAUAAACGAUUUACAUGCUAAGCUCAAAACUGCUCCUUUAUGGAGCUUUGAGGAAAAACUGUUGUGUAUCAAAUAUAAUACCUAUAAUUUUCUGUAUACAAAUCAAUUAAAUACAACAAAGUAAUAAGAUUUAAAGCUGAUAUAACAUCACAUCUGUCAAAUCUUCACAAUUGGCAAUGUGUGACUAGGAAAGAGGUAAGAAAAAAAGCUUAAGAGUUCUGCAUAGUCUAAUAUUGUUUGGACUUGAUAAUACAAGAAAAUACUCAUACAAUUUGAUUGGAGCAUUUAAUUUAGGAUGCUAUUUUGUUACCUACAAUCCAUUUAUAGGAUCUCUACAGCUUCAAAAAUUUAUUGGAAAUCUAAUAUUAUAAUACCCUAUAGCCUUUCUUUGACAUUAAAGUCUUUAUAGGAAACAAAGUCUUUAAUUCAGGCAUCUAGAUUUAAGCAUAAUCCCCCGAUAUUUCUUUUGAUGAUUUGCUGGUCCUGAAGAAAGAUGUUUCUUGCUUUUUUGUUAAGAAAAUUCUUAGACUUUGCCAGGAAGAUAUAAUGUAGGAUAUAAAAGAAAAACCUCAUCUACGAGGGCAUACUGAGAGAACUGGGGCUGUUCAGCCUGGGAAAGAGAAGGUUUCUGGGAGACCUGAUAGUGGCCCUUCAAUAUCCAAAGGGGGGCUAUAAGAAAGAAGGCAAUAAAUGCUUUAGCAAGGCCUGUUGCAAUACGGCAAGGGGAAAUGGUUUCAAACUAAAAGAGGGGAGAUUUAAAUUGCAUGUAAGAAAAAAGUUCUUUACAAUAAUGGUAGUGAAGCACUGAAACAGGUUGUCCAAAGAGGCGGUGGAUGCCCCAUCCUUGGAGACAUUCAACAUUGGGCCGGAUGGAGCUCUGAGUAAUCUGAUCCAGCUAUAGACAUCCCUGGCUAUAGCAGGGGGAUUAGAACUAGAUGACUUUUAAAGGUCCCUUCUGAUUCAAACAAUUCUGUAUAGAAAUAAUCAUACUCAAAGAAAUUGUGAGUUGGUAUGCUUCCAAAAAAAAAAAUUAUGUACAUUUUAUUAACAGGCAGUGGGUGCUGAGUACAUUACAAAAGGCCAUUUCCUCUUACAGGGCUCCAGUUUGACCUUUUAACAAAAUCUGAGUGACCAUAUCUGAUCAUUCUUUUUAACACCUUGACUGGGACAAUUCUAGUAAUUCCAGCCAUUUUAAAAAACAAACAUGGAAAAGUUUCCCAAAGGCUCUUAUGAUUUUUUUUUGUUGUUGUUUGUUCUUUGAAACUGAAAACUGUCCUAAUGGAAAAACUUUUACUUGAGGGAGAAAUAAAGAGAAUAUUCUUCCCAGACAUCUGAUUUUUUCUUUGUUUCUGUAUGUUCAUCUGAUACAUAUAUUUUUUCUAAUUUGGUAUUUUACCCAUUUUAGUGUAAAUUGCCAUAAAUUUUGUUUGGUCUUAAAAUAGGUAUCAAUCUAAUAAUAAAAUCAAUCAAAAGCACAGACCACAUAGAUAUACAUAUGUUUAAGGAAAUUUCUGUUCUCCAUAAGCGUGACAAGUUUAUAAAUUGUGGCAUGGCCAAACUCCUUGAAA